rnacentral:rRNA from 1 species
CCUACGGGAGGCAGCAGUGAGGAAUAUUGGUCAAUGGACGAGAGUCUGAACCAGCCAAGUAGCGUGAAGGAUGACUGCCCUACGGGUUGUAAACUUCUUUUAUAUGGGAAUAAAAUGUUCCACGUGUAGGAUUUUGUAUGUACCAUAUGAAUAAGGAUCGGCUAACUCCGUGCCAGCAGCCGCGGUAAUACGGAGGGUCCGAGCGUUAUCCGGAUUUAUUGGGUUUAAAGGGAGCGUAGGUGGAUUGUUAAGUCAGUUGUGAAAGUUUGCGGCUCAACCCGAAAAUUGCAGUUGAAACUGGCAGUCUUGAGUACAGUAGAGGUGGGCGGAAUUCGUGGUGUAGCGGUGAAAUGCUUAGAUAUGACGAAGAACUCCGAUUGCGAAGGCAGCUUACUGCAGCGGAACUGACACUGAUGCUCGAAAGUGUGGGUAUCAAACAGGAUUAGAUACCCCUGUAGUC